CCGGGAGCCGUCCCCCAGGAAGAUCCCCACCACCAGCUCCUUCCUGUCCCCAUGGUGUCCCCUCACUCCUUCCUUCUGGAUGGGGGCCAGAGGGCAAAGGAGGGUAUAAAGGCGACCUGGAGGGACCCAGGCACAAGCAGACGCCAGCGAAGACUCUCCCGGCCAGAUCCCUGGGAUGCGCCAGCCAGAGGCCAUGCUGCUGCUGCUCACCCUGGCCCUCCUGGGGGGCCCCACCUGGGCAGGGAAGAUGUAUGGUCCUGGAGGAGGGAAGUAUUUCAGCACCACGGAAGACUACGACCACGACAUCACAGGGCUGCGGGUGUCUUCGGCUCUUAUGGUGAAAAGUGUCCAGGUGAGACUUGGCGACUCCUGGGAUGUUAAACAGGGCGCCUCAGGUGGGCAGACCCAGGAAGUCAUCCUGGAGCAAGGCGAAUACAUCAUAAAAGUCGUUGGCGCCUUCAAAGUUUUCCUGCAGGGUAUGGCCCUGUGCACCAACAAAGGCCGCUGUUUCUAUUUUGGGAAG
rnacentral:lncRNA from 1 species